rnacentral:lncRNA from 1 species
CUUGAUGAUUGUUUCUAUCUUGCCAAAAUGGAAAUGGAAGGGUGGCCCCAAGUAUGAUUAUACAAUAUACUAAGGUCACAAUUAAGUGUUUGAUUGGUCAUGAGAAGUAUUUCGAGAUGGCUUUUUGUCUAGUAAUCAACAGCAAGUAAUGAAUCAAGGAUCUCUCACCAGAGUUGCUGCUACAAGGAAUGAGGUUGGCCUAAAGAUUAAUUAGAAAGGAGUACCAGAAGGAAUAGUCACUUUUGGGCAUGAAAUUGGGCGAACCUGGUCUAAGAGCUGGACUUGAGGAUUGAGAAUAUGUUAUAAUUGAUGUAUUUUAUGGUUUUCAGCAAUAUGACAAUUACAGAUUCAUAUUAUGAAUAAGUGGUU